rnacentral:tRNA from 1 species
GCGGGUGUAGCUCAGUUGGUUAGCGCGCCGGCCUGUCACGCCGGAGGUCGCGGGUUCGAGCCCCGUCACUCGCGCCA